UUGUGAUCAGAGUGCUGGCACUGCCCCUGAUGGACCAGGUGUGGCUUCACAUAAAAAGGAGCAGACAGUCACAAAUGCGUCUGUAGAUCUGCAGUCCAGCAGUGAUCAGUAGGAAAUGUCUGGACGACGAGGACACUGCCAUGGUGGUGGCCAUGGACAUGGACAUGAACAUGGACAUGGACAUGGUUGCCAUGGCGGUGGACAUGGACAUGGUUGCCAAGGUGGUGGACAUGGACAGGGGCCCAAAUGCAGGCGCAGACGCAAGCGCAAGCGAGGCCACAAGCAUAGAAGCUGUCACAAGAAGGGGAAGGACUGUCAUGGGUCCUCCAGCAGCUCCUGCAGCAGCAGCAGCAGCAGUGAUUCCGACUAGAUAAAGAAUCCUGGAUGGAAAGAGUAUCAAGACAAGUUAGCACUCAUAAACCUUAGACAAGAAUCACAUAUGACGUUAAAACGUUUUUUGUAACUCAAAGGCAUGUGUAUUCUUGUCCCUACAUAUGUAAACUGCAUAUCUCUGUGUCAGACACUAAGGUAAUAAAGUUCCUAGUGAGAACAGAGAUGUUCUCUCUUCUGA